GGAACAGCCCACUUCCUGAACACAUGAGCCUGAAAGCACAGCCUCUGCAGCUGAGAAUCAGAAGAGGGCGCCCUAACUGGGAUUCCUAAAUGUCACCUCCUAUGAAGAUAGCAGAAGCUGGCCGUUCCCAGACACUGGAACAGAUACGUGACCUGAGAGACCUGCGUGUGGAAGGGCCGUGAUGAGUGCGGUACAGAGGGAAGCAGCGUUCUUCUGUUCCUCCGAGCCUUUCAUCUCAAUUUGAACCAUCCUCUUCAUAACGUUCCACUCUCUUCUCUUCUCCAUCUCGUCCUCUUGACAAUAUCUUCUUUUCUUUUGCUUUAUUUCUGCCCCCUCACCUCUCGCUCUUCCUCCCGUUCUCCCACUGUGAGCCGAGGUGUAAUAUAUCCGUAGCCCAUGUGUGCUGAAAUCUUUAACAUUCUUUCUUCUGCAGAAAGCCAGAGCUGGCACUGUACUGCAUGUACUCAUCAGACACCACUUCUUUAUCUGUCACUCUCUUGCUGCGAGUCAGAGAUGCAGCGGCAGAAUCAGUCGGCUUUGUCCCAAUGCUGUUUUGACACUGCGUUGGUGUGCUUCGCAGUGGCAGGACAUUGAAUCACACAGACAAUCGGAGGUUCGAUCCCUCUGUAUUCCUUUAGAUCUGUUUAUGAUUCAUUAGUUGAGCUCAGAGGAACAUGUAGACAGUGAAAAUGACUGGCAGCAGAUAGAGGCUGCUGACGGAGAUCAAAAUGCCCAUAAGAUCAACAUUUUUAUAUUUUACAGCAUGUUCUUGUUGAUCUAGUUGGAUUAUACAGUUAUCAGUGACUGGUUUGGUGAUGAUAGAGAAAACAC
rnacentral:lncRNA from 1 species